rnacentral:rRNA from 1 species
CAGUAGCCACGGUAAUACGAAGGGGGCUAGCGUUGCUCGGAAUCACUGGGCGUAAAGGGCGCGUAGGCGGCGUUUUAAGUCGGGGGUGAAAGCCUGUGGCUCAACCACAGAAUGGCCUUCGAUACUGGGACGCUUGAGUAUGGUAGAGGUUGGUGGAACUGCGAGUGUAGAGGUGAAAUUCGUAGAUAUUCGCAAGAACACCGGUGGCGAAGGCGGCCAACUGGACCAUUACUGACGCUGAGGCGCGAAAGCGUGGGGAGCAAACAGGAUUAGAUACCCCCGUAGUCCCUGUCUCUUAUAC